rnacentral:tRNA from 1 species
GCCUCUGUAGCUCAGUUGGUUAGAGCGCUGCACCGGAAUCGCAGGGCCGUAGGUUCAAUUCCUACCAGAGGAC